rnacentral:rRNA from 1 species
CCUACGGGAGGCAGCAGUAGGGAAUUUUCGUCAAUGGGCGCAAGCCUGAACGAGCGAUGCCGCGUGAGUGAAGAAGGCCUUCGGGUCGUAAAGCUCUGUUGCGGGGGAAAAAAGGCAGCAUCAGGAAAUGGGUGCUGACUAAUGGUGCCCCGCCAGAAAGUCACGGCUAACUACGUGCCAGCAGCCGCGGUAAUACGUAGGUGGUGAGCGUUAUCCGGAAGGAUUGGGCGUAAAGGGUGCGCAGGCGGUCCUGCAAGUCUGGAGUGAAACGCAUGAGCUCAACUCAUGCAUGGCUUUGGAAACUGGAGGACUGGAGAGCAGGAGAGGGCGGUGGAACUCCAUGUGUAGCGGUAAAAUGCGUAGAUAUAUGGAAGAACACCAGUGGCGAAGGCGGCCGCCUGGCCUGUUGCUGACGCUGAGGCACGAAAGCGUGGGGAGCAAAUAGGAUUAGAUACCCUAGUAGUC